rnacentral:rRNA from 1 species
AAUGAACGUUGGCGGCAUGGAUUAGGCAUGCAAGUCGAGCGCGAAGAGUCAUUUGCUUGCAUUUGACUCUGAAAGCGGCGUAAGGGUGAGUAACGCGUAGUUACCUACCUCCGGGUCCGGAAUAGCUGCGGGAAACUGCAGUUAAUGCCGGAUAAUAUCUCAGGAUCAAAGGUGAGAUCCCGCCCGGAGAGGGGACUGCGUCCUACUAGCUUGUUGGUGGGGUAAUGGCCUACCAAGGCUUCGAUGGGUAGCGGGCGUGAGAGCGUGGCCCGUCACACUGGGACUGAGACACUGCCCAGACACCUACGGGUGGCUGCAGUCGAGAAUCUUCGGCAAUGGGCGAAAGCCUGACCGAGCAAUGCCGCGUGCGGGAUGAAGGCCCUCGGGUUGUAAACCGCGAAAGUAAGGAGGAAGGACCUGCGAAGAGCAGGUUUUGACCGAUCUACAGUAAGGACGGGCUAAGUUCGUGCCAGCCGCCGCCGUAA